AGAGGCAGCACUGAGCAGAGCCCCAGCAGUGCUGGCGAAUUGGGGCUGAGGGCGCUGCGGAUGUGAUGAGCAGAUUACGAUGCCCAUGCACUACAGCUGCUGUCUGCGAGGAGCUGGGGAGCUUUGAAGGUGACAAAGCCAGCAGGAUGCACAGAGAACCCGGCAUCACUGAACAGAAGGGAUCCAGGCAGAGACUGAAGUGAAGCAGCUGGUGAACCACCUGUGUUACAGCCACAGAGAGCAGCAGUGCCACAGCCUUACUGACACACACCCGGCUCCUUAUCCUGUGCUCACAGCACACAUUUGGGCAGGACUCAGCUGCUCAGAU